rnacentral:rRNA from 1 species
ACGUAGGUGGCAAGCGUUGUCCGGAUUUAUUGGGUUUAAAGGGUGCGUAGGCGGCUUUGUAAGUCAGUGGUAAAAUACGGCAGCUCAACUGUCGAGGUGCCAUUGAUACUGCAGAGCUAGAGUACUGAUGAGGUAGGCGGAAUGGACGGUGUAGCGGUGAAAUGCUUAGAUAUCGUCCAGAACACCGAUAGCGAAGGCAGCUUACUAAAGAGUAACUGACGCUGAGGCACGAAAGUGUGGGGAUCAAACAGGA